rnacentral:sRNA from 1 species
CUUGGACCCCACAGGUCCAGGCUGGCGCUGGCCUGGGCUCCACAGCCUCCCAAGGCCCCCAUGGGGGCCUUGGGCGGGGGCAUCAGCCAUGACCGGAGGUUUAGAGUUCUGGUUCCGCCGAUCUCAUUUGGGGCGUCGGAUAAAAAUCCAGGCUUCCGGACCCACCCCACACUGCAUCAGAGUCAUCAGGAAACUGGUUGUAGCAGGCGCCACAAGUGAGCUGGUUUGACCACUGACUUAGUUCAACACCGCCAUUUCGCUUGUAGAAAAGUGAACCCCGAGAAGACACAGAACUUACCUGAAGUCACCAGGCAGUUAGGCAGCAGGGCCGAGGGCUGCCCAGGAGCUGCAGGACAAGCACCAGGAGCCCCUCCGGGUAGCUACUACCCUGGACCCCCCAAUAGUGGAGGGCAGUAUGGUAGUGGGCUACCCCCUGGUGGUGGUUAUGGGGGUCCUGCCCCUGGAGGGCCUUAUGGACCACCAGCUGGUGGAGGGCCCUAUGGACACCCCAAUCCUGGGAUGUUCCCCUCUGGAACUCCAGGAGGACCAUAUGGCGGUGCAGCUCCGGGGGGCCCCUAUGGUCAGCCACCUCCAAGUUCCUACGGUGCCCAGCAGCCUGGGCUUUAUGGACAGGGUGGCGCCCCUCCCAAUGUGGAUCCUGAGGCCUACUCCUGGUUCCAGUCGG